rnacentral:rRNA from 1 species
GACGAACGCUGGCGGCGUGCUUAACACAUGCAAGUCGAACGGCAAGGCCCUGCUUUUGUGGGGUGCUCGAGUGGCGAACGGGUGAGUAACACGUGAGUAGCCUGCCCUUGACUUUGGGAUAACUUCAGGAAACUGGGGCUAAUAUCGGAUAGGAGCUCCUGCUGCAUGGUGGGGGUUGGAACGUUUCGGCGGUUGGGGAUGGACUCGCGGCUUACCAGCUUGCUGGUGGGGUAGUGGCUUACCAAGGCUUUGACGGGUAGCCGGCCUGAGAGGGUGACCGGCCACAUUGGGACUGAGAUACGGCCCAGACUCGUACGGGAGGCAGCAGUGGGGAAUAUUGCACAAUGGGCGGAAGCCUGAUGCAGCAACGCCGCGUGCGGGAUGACGGCCUUCGGGUUGUAAACCGCUUUCGCCUGUGACGAAGCGUGAGUGACGGUAAUGGGUGAAGAAGCACCGGCUAACUACGUG